GGCCAGACUCCUACGGGAGGCAGCAGUGAGGAAUAUUGGUCAAUGGGCGCGAGCCUGAACCAGCCAAGUCGCGUGAGGGAAGACGGUCCUAUGGAUUGUAAACCUCUUUUGUCGGGGAGCAAAAGACGCCACGUGUGGCGUUCCGAGAGUACCCGAAGAAAAAGCAUCGGCUAACUCCGUGCCAGCAGCCGCGGUAAUACGGAGGAUGCGAGCGUUAUCCGGUUUUAUUGGGUUUAAAGGGUGCGCAGGCGGAAGAUCAAGUCAGGGUAAAAAUGGAGGGGCCAACCCUCUUCGAGCCGUUGAAACUGGUUUUCUUGAGUGAGCGAGAAGUAUGCGGAAUGCGUGGUGUAGCGGUGAAAUGCUUAGAUAUCACGAAGAACCCCGAUUGCGAAGGCAGCCUGCCGCAGCGUUACUGACGCUGAAGCUCGAAAGCGCGGGUAUCGAACAGGAUUAGAUACCCGUGUA
rnacentral:rRNA from 1 species